UACGUAAGGCGCAAGCGUUGUCCGGAAUUAUUGGGCGUAAAGAGCUCGUAGGCGGUUUGUCGCGUCUGUCGUGAAAGCCCACGGCUUAACUGUGGGUCUGCGGUGGAUACGGGCAGACUAGAGGUAUGCAGGGGAGAACGGAAUUCCUGGUGUAGCGGUGAAAUGCGCAGAUAUCAGGAGGAACACCGGUGGCGAAGGCGGUUCUCUGGGCAUUACCUGACGCUGAGGAGCGAAAGCGUGGGGAGCGAACAGG
rnacentral:rRNA from 1 species